rnacentral:sRNA from 1 species
UUGGCAAAACAGAGAGUAAUUUAUACACGGGGGAAUAACCGCUUGGCUUCAAGUUACCAUCACCAGGAUGCAGCAGCCCUCCAAUUCAAGAAAAGCAUGACAUUUUCAUUCCAGAAUUGGAACGAAGGUCGCAAGGCCUUUUGGGGAUUCAAUUGCGUGAAAAUCCACCUACACACCUUCUCACCCCUCAACCAAUUUUACUUUACGGUUAUGGAGUUUACACUUCUAGAUUGCACCUUCAAGGGGAUUGAUAAUUACACCCCUUAUCCGGCUAAUUAUAUCCCUUCAAAAAUCGCUAAUUUUA